rnacentral:rRNA from 1 species
GAGUUUGAUCAUGGCUCAGGAUGAAUGCUGGCGGCGUGCCUAACACAUGCAAGUCGAGCGGCAGCGAGGGGUGCUUGCACCCUGUCGGCGAGCGGCGGACGGCUGAGUAACGCGUGGGAAUCUACCCUAAAGUGAGGGAUAACCGCCCGAAAGGGUGGCUAAUACCGCAUAUGAUCUUCGGAUUAAAGGAUUUAUCCGCUUUAGGAAGAGCCCGCGUUAGAUUAGGUAGUUGGUAGGGUAAUGGCCUACCAAGCCAACGAUCUAUAGCUGGUCUGAGAGGAUGAUCAGCCAGACUGGAACUGAGACACGGUCCAGACUCCUACGGGAGGCAGCAGUGAGGAAUCUUCCACAAUGGGCGAAAGCCUGAUGGAGCAACGCCGCGUGAAGGAUGAAGGCCUUCGGGUUGUAAACUUCUUUUAUGAGUGAAGAAUAUGACGGUAACUCAUGAAUAAGCACCGGCUAACUACGUGCCAGCAGCCGCGGUCAUACGUAGGGUGCAAGCAUUAUCCGGAGUGACUGGGCGUAAAGAGUUGCGUAGGCGGUUUAGUAAGUGAAUAGUGAAACCUGGUGGCUCAACCAUACAGACUAUUAUUCAAACUGUUAAACUCGAGAGUGGUAGAGGUAACUGGAAUUUCUAGUGUAGGAGUGAAAUCCGUAGAUAUUAGAAGGAACACCAAUGGCGUAGGCAGGUUACUGGACCAUUUCUGACGCUAAGGUACGAAAGCGUGGGGAGCGAACUGGAUUAGAUACCCAGGUAGUCCACGCCGUAAACGAUGGAUACUAGCUGUUGGAGGUAUCGACCCCUUCAGUAGCGAAGCUAACGCGUUAAGUAUCCCGCCUGUGGAGUACGGCCGCAAGGCUAAAACAUAAAGGAAUUGACGGGGACCCGCACAAGCGGUGGAUCAUGUUCUUUAAUUCGAUGAUAAACGAAGAACCUUACCAGGGUUUGACAUCCCGAGAAGAUUUACGAAAGUAAAUUGUGCCUUUUGGAACUCGGUGACAGAUGAUGCAUGGCCGUCGUCAGCUCGUGUCGUGAGAUGUUUGGUUAAGUCCAUCAACGAGCGCAACCCUUGUGAAUAGUUGAAUUUUUCUAUUCAGACUGCCCCGGCAACGGGGAGGAAGGAGGGGAUGAUGUCAGGUCAGUAUUUCUCUUACAUCCUGGGCUAGAAACGUGAUACAAAUGGCAAGUACAAUGCGCAGCGAAGCCGUGAGGUGAAAGCAAAUCGCACCAAAAGCUUGUCCCAAGUUCGGAUUGGAGGCUGAAACUCGCCUCCAUGAAGUCGGAAUCGCUAGUAAUCGCAGGUCAGCAAACUGCGGUAAAUACGUUCCCGGGUCUUGUACACACCGCCCGUCA